UUGUGCCUAUACACGUUUGUC
rnacentral:rRNA from 1 species